rnacentral:rRNA from 1 species
GAUGAACGCUGGCGGCGUGCCUAAUACAUGCAAGUCGAGCGAACAGACGAGGAGCUUGCUCCUCUGACGUUAGCGGCGGACGGGUGAGUAACACGUGGAUAACCUACCUAUAAGACUGGAAUAACUUCGGGAAACCGUAGCUAAUGCCGGAUGAUAUAUUUAACCGCAUGGUUCAAUAGUUAAAGACGGUUUUGCUGUCACUUAUAGAUGUAUCCUGGCCGCAUUAGCUAGUUGGUAAGGUAACGGCUUACCAAGGCAACGAUGCGUAGCCGACCUGAGAGGGUGAUCGGCCCCACUGGAACUGAGACACGGUACAGACUCCUACGGGAGGCAGCAGUAGGGAAGCUUCCGCAAUGGGCGAAAGCCUGACGGAGCAACGCAGCGUGAGUGAUGAAGGUCUUCGGAUCGUAAAACUCUGUUAUUAGGGAAGAACAAAUGUGUAAGUAACUAUGCACGUCUUGACGGUACCUAAUCAGAAAGCCCCGGCUAACUACGUG